rnacentral:rRNA from 1 species
ACAAAGUCGUGAGGCGGAGCAAAACACAAAACACAGUCUCAGUUCAGAUUGUAGGCUGAAACUCGCCUAUAUGAAGUCGGAAUUGCUAGUAAUCGCGGAUCAGCAUGCCGCGGUGAAUACGUUCCCGGGCCUUGUACACACCGCCCGUCACACCAUGAGAGUCGAUAACACCCGAAGCCUGUAGUCUAACAGCAAUGAGGACGCAGUCGAAGGUGGGAUUGAUAAUUAGGGUGAAGUCGUAACAAGGUACC